UGUGCAACUUCAGCCAAUCAUAGAAGCCCCAGUGAGCUGAGCAAGCGUCUUCAUCUCCUCGGCAGGGAAGCAUCCGACAGCCAGCUCAGUGUUUAUAAGAGCAAGAACGAUGUCCCAAUGUCCCGAGAAGAAGCAGAGGGGGAGGGGAGAUCCCUGCUUUCCCCUGCACUGAUCACAAUCUGACAGCAGCCCCCACCUUCUGAGACGGAGAUCACAUGACUCAACUGCUGUGAUGCACCACAUGACUCCAUCUGCGAGGGAUAUUGGGGGACUUCUGCCUAGGAACACCCGUGAGGCAGCGCAUCUGGUCCCUUAUGCUCCCGGCACUGAUGACUGCCCUAGAGUGCAGAGGAAGGAGAUGAGCGGCCGCAGAAACUCGGGUGAGCCGCAGCAGUCACAGUGAUUGGAGCAGCAAUAGCGGUGAUGGAGGGACACUAAUAAUGGACAUCGGGAGAGAUAAGAGGACACUAAAGACUGAUCAGCAUCCCAACUCCUAACUUUCUUGCUAGCUCCUAGAUUCUUAAAUUUGUCAAGCCCUACUAUACAGCGUGGGAACAAACAAGUUCAAGGGGAGCCUGGAUGUUUUUCUAGAAAGUAACAACAUUAGGG